rnacentral:rRNA from 1 species
AUUCCAGCUCCAAUAGCGUAUAUUAAUGUUGUUGCAGUUAAAAAGCUCGUAGUUGGAUUUCUGGGUUCUUCGCUAGCUUUGGUCCGCAAGGGCUUCAGUGGGCUGUUUGAAUCCAUUCUCAGGGGGACCCAUGCUGGUAUUCAUUUAUCGGUGUGGGAACGCCUGUCGUUUACUGUGAACAAAUUAGAGUGUUCAAAGCAAGGUGUACUUGAAUACAUUAGCAUGGAAUAAUAAGAUAGGACUUUGGUGGUUCUUUUUGAUAUUUUGUUGGUUUGCACGCCAAAGUAAUGAUUAAUAGGAGCAGUUGGGGGUAUUCGUAUUCAAUUGUCAGAGGUGAAAUUCUUGGAUUUAUAGAAGACGAACUACUGCGAAAGCAUUUACCAAGGAUGUUUUCAUCG